CAAUCCAUGAGUAAAGUGGCGCACGGGUGAGUAACACGUGACUAACCUACCCUUGAGUGGGGGAUAACCUAGGGAAACCUGGGCUAAUACCGCAUAAUACCUACGGGUCAAAGGAGCAAUUCGCUUUAGGAGGGGGUCGCGGCAGAUUAGUUAGUUGGCAGGGUAAUGGCCUACCAAGACGAUGAUCUGUAUCCGGCCUGAGAGGGCGCACGGACACACUGGAACUGAAACACGGUCCAG
rnacentral:rRNA from 1 species